UGAACAAGUGGCCACUGCAAAUUCAUCCCCCCGUGGCUGAGGCACAGUCUGAGCCCAAUUUUAUUUUCAGAAUCAACUUUGGUGUUAAAUUGUAAAGUCCUAAAAUGAAAGCAGCAGAUAUUUUUGGGAGGUUCUUAUGCCAAUAGAGUUAUAAAAGCAAGACUGGAAAACUGCUUCUAAAAGGCAUUACUGAAGAGCUUGACUAUAUCACAAUUCACUGCACAAAUUCAAGAUCUCAUUACUACAGCCUUCUACUGUGUUUCAAUUAACUAUUAGUUUGCAUUAUUAAAGUGAUUUAAAACGUU